rnacentral:tRNA from 1 species
GCGUCGGUGGUCUAAUGGUUAUGACUGCGGCCUUCCAAGCCGCGUAUCUGGGUUCGAAUCCCAGCCGACGCA